CCGCGCCGUCGCCGGAAGUUCGGUCUGUGUGGUGGAGGCGCGAGCGGCGAAGCUAAGCGGCGGGACGAUGGCCGGCUGUGGGCGAUGACCAGGCUUCUGGGCGUGGCGCGCAGCGUUGCUUUGGCCGCCGUGCGCUGCAGCACCUGCGGCCGCAGCGGCCUCAGCAUGUUUUAUGCCGUGAGGAGGGGCCGCAAGGCCGGGGUCUUCCAGACCUGGAGCGAAUGCAGAGCGCAGGUGGACCGCUUCCCGGCCGCGCGCUUUAAGAAGUUUGCCACGGAGGAGGAGGCCUGGGCCUUCGUCGGGAAGCCCGCCAGCCCGGGCGGCGCGGAAGAGACAGAAAACAAGCAUGAACAAGAAUCACAAGCGAAAGCCAACAAGCGACUCCGUGAGCCCUCGGACGGAGAUGAAAACGCAGAGCCCUGUGCAAAGCAGGCAAGACAGACCACGGGAUCCGUGCCUUCAGUUGACAAAGACACAUUUUCUUAUAUGGGAGAAUUUGUUGUCGUCUACACUGAUGGCUGCUGCUCCAGCAACGGGCGGAGGAGGGCACGAGCAGGCAUCGGUGUUUACUGGGGGCCCGGCCAUCCUUUGAAUAUAGGCAUUAGGCUUCCCGGGCGGCAGACCAACCAAAGAGCAGAAAUUCAUGCAGCCUGCAAAGCCAUCGAGCAAGCAAAGGCUCAAAACAUCAAGAAGCUGGUUCUAUAUACGGACAGUAUGUUUACUAUAAAUGGGAUCACGAAUUGGGUUCAAGGCUGGAAGAAGAAUGGGUGGAAGACGAGCACAGGGAAAGAGGUGAUCAACAAGGAGGACUUCGUGGCGCUGGAGCAGCUCACCCAGGGCAUGGACAUCCAGUGGAUGCAUGUUCCUGGUCAUUCGGGAUUUGUAGGCAAUGAAGAGGCGGACAGAUUAGCACGAGAAGGAGCAAAGCGAUCUGAGGACUGAGCGAGGUCGUCGUCCUUCUUGGACAACUUGAGUACAGGCUCUUCGCAUCUUCCUGGUGUUGGCGGCUGCCGGUGCCCAGUGCGUCCGUCUGUUAAUGGUUCAGAGCCUCUAAAAUGCGUGAAAAGCCCAGUGAGUCUUUCUUACAAGUCAUGUGUCCUUUUGGCUUCAAUGUUCCGAGGUCUGUUUUCCGCGGUUGUGUUAGACGGUGUCCUGUGGUGUUCGCGCUGGGUCAGUGCUUGCGGGAGUGCGCAGGGUGUCCGUCUGUGCGUGUUCACAUCCGCUAUUUCAGGGUUUCUGGAACUGCGGCUUAGUGUUCUGGUUUCCGUGUUUUCGGCUUCUGUUUGGGGGAACCUCAGUUUCUCUGUGUUGAAGUCAGAUUUGUCCGUCCUCUGUGUUUUCUUCUUCUUGAAUCUCCUUCAUCUCUUUUUAAAUUUCUUUUGUUUCCUAAAAUUUGUUCUCCACAUGAUGUCCUGUUUCUAAAGCCAUUAUUUGUUGUGUGGUUUGCUCUGAUUCUCAUUUUUGAAAUUAAUUUUCUUGUCUGUCUAGUUUCCGGAAUUCUGUGACCUUAUUUCUGAUGUUUUCUCAUGCUGAUGUGUCGUCCUCCCAUCUCGGAUCUUCUCUCUUGAUGUUUUGAAGCAGCUCAUUUUGGUCUGGUUGCUGGGUACGUCUUUCUGGUGUGCCCUCACUCUCUGUAGGGGUGUUUGUUCUCCUCCUUUUCUCUUUUCUUAGAAUAGCUCUGUGUGGGAUUGGUACUUUCCCAUCAUGCAUUUUCCUAAACAUUUAGUUCAGAUAGUUUUUCUCACUUCAUAGAGUUCUCUUUUCUGUUGAACUUUGAGUCAUGCUAAAAAUACGGCGGCUAGCUUCUGGCGCUCUCCCUGCUCUGGCCCUGCUGCACCCGCAUCAAGUCCUUCUCUUUCCUCUGUCCACUGUCCCUUCCUGCUGGUGCUGGCUCUGUCCCCACAGUAUGGGUCCCUGUGGGGUCAGCCGCAGCGGCUCCCGGGCUCCACGGCGGCAGCCCUCGGACCUUCUAGCAGUGGCUCUUCACCACCCGGGGAGGGACGACUGCCCCGCUCCAGCCGCGGGCCUCCAGCUGGCCUGUGACACUGCAGCGGACACCGGUCGGCGCCGUGGAGGCCCAGUGGCCCCACUGUGCUCUGUGCCACAGCCUUACGGAGGCGCGCUUGAUGGACAGCACACAGCGCGUGUGUAAAGCGGACCUUGGAUUCCCCAGUGGAGCCCCUGCAAGAACUGCCUGUCACCUCCCAGGGUUUUAUCGCGCCACUUUGAAAUCCUUCCGUCCCGGACCCCAUCCUCGGGCGACCACCGAUCUGCUUCCUAUCUCUCUAGAUAAUUUGUGUUUUCUAAGGCGUUUAUAUAAAUGGAGUCCUGCAGUAUAAACGCCUUCCGUGUCUGGAGCGUCUUUCAGUCGUGUCAUCAUUCUGGCAUCGGCGCAGCUGCGUCUGACCGUAGCUCACUCCUUUCUGUCGCGGCGGAGCGUCCACGGCUCGGGCGCACCACGGCUGUGCGCCUUCCUCCUGUUCACGGGCGUUUGCUUGGCCUCCGGGUGCGGCUCCUGUAAAUAAAGCUGCUGUGAUCACGUU